rnacentral:rRNA from 1 species
GAUGAACGCUGGCGGCGUGCCUAAUACAUGCAAGUCGAGCGAACCACUUCGGUGGUGAGCGGCGAACGGGUGAGUAACACGUAGGUGAUCUGCCCAUCAGACGGGGACAACGAUUGGAAACGAUCGCUAAUACCGGAUAGGACGAAAGUUUAAAGGUGCUUCUGGCACCGCUGAUGGAUGAGCCUGCGGCGCAUUAGCUAGUUGGUAGGGUAAAGGCCUACCAAGGCGACGAUGCGUAGCCGACCUGAGAGGGUGAACGGCCACACUGGGACUGAGACACGGCCCAGACUCCUACGGGAGGCAGCAGUAGGGAAUCUUCGGCAAUGGGCGAAAGCCUGACCGAGCAACGCCGCGUGAAUGAUGAAGGCCUUCGGGUUGUAAAAUUCU